CGCGGCCUAUCAGCUUGUUGGUGGGGUGAUGGCCUACCAAGGCGACGACGGGUAGCCGGCCUGAGAGGGUGUCCGGCCACACUGGGACUGAGAUACGGCCCAGACUCCUACGGGAGGCUGCAGUGGGGAAUAUUGCACAAUGGGCGCAAGCCUGAUGCAGCGACGCCGCGUGGGGGAUGACGGCCUUCGGGUUGUAAACCCCUUUCAAUAGGGACGAAGCGCAAGUGACGGUACCUAUAGAAGAAGCACCGGCCAACUACGUGCCAGCAGCCGCGGUAAUACGUAGGGUGCGAGCGUUGUCCGGAAUUACUGGGCGUAAAGAGCUCGUAGGUGGUUUGUCGCGUUGUUCGUGAAAACUCACAGCUUAACUGUGGGCGUGCGGGCGAUACGGGCAGACUGGAGUACUGCAGGGGAGACUGGAAUUCCUGGUGUAGCGGUGGAAUGCGCAGAUAUCAGGAGGAACACCGGUGGCGAAGGCGGGUCUCUGGGCAGUAACUGACGCUGAGGAGCGAAAGCGUGGGGAGCGAACAGGAUUAGAUACCCUGGUAGUCCACGCCGUAAACGGUGGGUACUAGGUGUGGGUUUCCUUCCUUGGGAUCCGUGCCGUAGCUAACGCAUUAAGUACCCCGCCUGGGGAGUACGG
rnacentral:rRNA from 2 species